rnacentral:rRNA from 1 species
GGAGCUGAAGCCAGUCGCAGAUACCAGCUGGCUGCAACUGUUUAUUAAAAACACAGCACUGUGCAAACACGAAAGUGGACGUAUACGGUGUGACGCCUGCCCGGUGCUGGAAGGUUAAUUGAUGGGGUUAUCCGUAAGGAGAAGCUCUUGAUCGAAGCCCCAGUAAACGGCGGCCGUAACUAUAACGGUCCUAAGGUAGCGAAAUUCCUUGUCGGGUAAGUUCCGACCUGCACGAAUGGCGUAAUGAUGGCCAGGCUGUCUCCACCCGAGACUCAGUGAAAUUGAACUCGCUGUGAAGAUGCAGUGUACCCGCGGCAAGACGGAAAGACCCCGUGAACCUUUACUAUAGCUUGACACUGAACAUUGAGCCUUGAUGUGUAGGAUAGGUGGGAGGCUUUGAAGUGUGGACGCCAGUCUGCAUGGAGCCAACCUUGAAAUACCACCCUUUAAUGUUUGAUGUUCUAACGUUGCCCCGUUAUCCGGGGUGCGGACAGUGUCUGGUGGGUAGUUUGACUGGGGCGGUCUCCUCCCAAAGAGUAACGGAGGAGCACGAAGGUUGGCUAAGCAUGGUCGGACAUCAUGCGGUUAGUGCAAAGGCAUAAGCCAGCUUGACUGCGAGAGUGACGGCUCGAGCAGGUACGAAAGUAGGUCUUAGUGAUCCGGUGGUUCUGAAUGGAAGGGCCAUCGCUCAACGGAUAAAAGGUACUCCGGGGAUAACAGGCUGAUACCGCCCAAGAGUUCAUAUCGACGGCGGUGUUUGGCACCUCGAUGUCGGCUCAUCACAUCCUGGGGCUGAAGUAGGUCCCAAGGGUACGGCUGUUCGCCGUUUAAAGUGGUACGCGAGCUGGGUUUAGAACGUCGUGAGACAGUUCGGUCCCUAUCUGCCGUGGGCGUUGGAAGAUUGAAAGGGGCUGCUCCUAGUACGAGAGGACCGGAGUGGACGCACCACUGGUGUUCGGGUUGUCAUGCCAAUGGCAUUGCCCGGUAGCUAAGUGCGGAAGAGAUAACCGCUGAAAGCAUCUAAGCGGGAAACUUGCCUUGAGAUGAGUCUUCCCUGACCCUUUAAGGGUCCUAAAGGAACGUUUAAGACUAAGACGUUGAUAGGUUGGGUGUGUAAGCAUAGCGAUAUGUUGAGCUAA